GUAGGCGGUAUUUAUUGUUAUUGAUAAAAAAUUUAAAGUUAUAUUUAAAAGUGUCAAUAAAACAUUUUUACUAGAGUUUUGUAGAGAAUAACAGAGCUUCCACAUAGGGUUAAAAUCCGAUUAUUUAGGAAGAAAUGCUUUUGGUGAAAACGGUUAUUUAGGCAACAACUGACGUUGAGGAACAAAGGCAUAGGGAGCAAACGGGAUUUGAUACCCCGGUAGUCUAUGCUGUGACAUAUGUAUACUAUUG
rnacentral:rRNA from 1 species